UCCAGACUCCUACGGGAGGCAGCAGUGGGGAAUAUUGCACAAUGGGGGGAACCCUGAUGCAGCAAUGCCGCGUGAAGGAUGAAGGUUUUCGGAUUGUAAACUUCUUUUGUACGGGACGAAGAAAGUGACGGUACCGUAAGAAUAAGCCACGGCUAACUACGUGCCAGCAGCCGCGGUAAUACGUAGGGAGCGAGCGUUGUCCGGAAUUACUGGGUGUAAAGGGAGCGUAGGCGGGACGGCAAGUCAGAUGUGAAAACUGAGGGCUCAACUUUCAGACUGCAUUUGAAACUGCUGUUCUUGAGUGAAGUAGAGGUAAGCGGAAUUCCUAGUGUAGCGGUGAAAUGCGUAGAUAUUAGGAGGAACACCAGUGGCGAAGGCGGCCUGCUGGGCUCUAACUGACGCUGAGGCUCGAAAGCGUGGGUAGCAAACAGGAUUAGAUACCCGUGUAU
rnacentral:rRNA from 1 species